rnacentral:lncRNA from 1 species
UCCGGAGCGUUUUUCGGCGAAAUCCGCCGAUAGAACGCGUUUUCGAUUCGGAAUUCUUCCGACAGUACUUGGGGAUCAUUUGUUUCGUUGCUGAGCCUUGUUGGCUGGUCACCCGUGUCAUUUCGUGGGUUUGGAAAUGACAGGUGAGCGACGGCGAAGUUCCGGUGCGGUUUUCGGGACUUCCGGUUUGUUCGGUAAUCGGUUUUGGGAAAUCGAUUCUCGUGGGUUUAUUCGUGGGGUUACGCUUUUAGGGUUUCUUAGUUGUGG